rnacentral:misc_RNA from 1 species
ACCACGAUUUCUCUAAACUCCAACCCCAAAAGUUCGGCCCUUCAAGUGCGAGCUCAGGAGCUGGAUCGCGUCCCUUUGGAACAGCGGUGGAUGUUCGAAGGCGACGAGCUCGACGGCCCUGACAUUUGGAAUAAAACAUGGUACCCGAAGGCUGCAGAUCAUGUGAACACAGAAAAACCUUGGUAUGUGGUUGAUGCCACUGAUAAGAUUUUGGGAAGGCUAGCUUCGACCAUUGCCAACCAUAUCCGAGGGAAGGAUUUGGCAACCUACACUCCUAGUGUGGAUA